AGAGUUUGUUUAGGGCUCAGAUUGAACGCUGGCGGCAGGCUUAACACAUGCAAGUCGAGCGGCAGCGGAAAGAAGCUUGCUUCUUUGCCGGCGAGCGGCGGACGGGUGAGUAAUGUCUGGGGAUCUGCCCGAUGGAGGGGGAUAACUACUGGAAACGGUAGCUAAUACCGCAUAAUGUCGCAAGACCAAAGUGGGGGACCUUCGGGCCUCACACCAUCGGAUGAACCCAAAUGGGAUUAGCUAGUAGGUGGGGUAAUGGCUCACCUAGGCGACGAUCCCUAGCUGGUCUGAGAGGAUGACCAGCCACACUGGAACUGAGACACGGUCCAGACUCCUACGGGAGGCAGCAGUGGGGAAUAUUGCACAAUAGGGGAAACCCUGAUGCAGCCAUGCCGCGUGUGUGAAGAAGGCCUUCGGGUUGUAAAGCACUUUCAGCGGGGAGGAAGGCAAUGGCGUUAAUAGUGUCAUUGAUUGACGUUACCCGCAGAAGAAGCACCGGCUAACUCCGUGCCAGCAGCCGCGGUAAUACGGAGGGUGCGAGCGUUAAUCGGAAUUACUGGGCGUAAAGCGUACGCAGGCGGUCUGUUAAGUCAGAUGUGAAAUCCCCGGGCUUAACCUGGGAACUGCAUUUGAAACUGGCAGGCUAGAGUCUCGUAGAGGGGGGUAGAAUUCCAGGUGUAGCGGUGAAAUGCGUAGAGAUCUGGAGGAAUACCGGUGGCGAAGGCGGCCCCCUGGACGAAGACUGACGCUCACGUACGAAAGCGUGGGGAGCAAACAGGAUUAGAUACCCUGGUAGUCCACGCUGUAAACGAUGUCGAUUUGAAGGUUGUGGUCUUGAGCCGUGGCUUUCGGAGCUAACGCGUUAAAUCGACCGCCUGGGGAGUACGGCCGCAAGGUUAAAACUCAAAUGAAUUGACAG
rnacentral:rRNA from 1 species